UACGUAGGGUGCGAGCGUUAAUCGGAAUUACUGGGCGUAAAGUGUGCGCAGGCGGCGCCACAAGUCACCUGUGAAAACUCUGGGCUCAACCCAGAGCCUGCAGGCGAAACUGUGGUGCUGGAGUAUGGGAGAGGUGCGUGGAAUUCCCGGUGUAGCGGUGAAAUGCGCAGAUAUCAGGAGGAACACCAAUGGCGAAAGCAGCUCGCUGGGACGGUACUGACGCUGAGACGCGAAAGCGUGGGGAGCAAACAGG
rnacentral:rRNA from 1 species